GACGAACGCUGGCGGCGUGCCUAAUACAUGCAAGUAGAACGCUGAAGGAGGAGCUUGCUUCUCUGGAUGAGUUGCGAACGGGUGAGUAACGCGUAGGUAACCUGCCUGGUAGCGGGGGAUAACUAUUGGAAACGAUAGCUAAUACCGCAUAAGAGUAGAUGUUGCAUGACAUUUGCUUAAAAGGUGCAAUUGCACCACUACCAGAUGGACCUGCGUUGUAUUAGCUAGUUGGUGGGGUAACGGCUCACCAAGGCGACGAUACAUAGCCGACCUGAGAGGGUGAUCGGCCACACUGGGACUGAGACACGGCCCAGACUCCUACGGGAGGCAGCAGUAGGGAAUCUUCGGCAAUGGACGGAAGUCUGACCGAGCAACGCCGCGUGAGUGAAGAAGGUUUUCGGAUCGUAAAGCUCUGUUGUAAGAGAAGAACGAGUGUGAGAGUGGAAAGUUCACACUGUGACGGUAUCUUACCAGAAAGAGACGGCUAACUACGUG
rnacentral:rRNA from 1 species